GCCCACUUCAACCUCCUUUCAAAGUCUGCUCGGGUACUCCAAGGAACUAUUUAUGAAUUGGAAACUGCUGCUACAGGCCCUGCCAUGCAGGAUUUUUGGGAGCAAAGUGUAGAGACGGGGUCUCGCUCUUGUUCAGGCUGGUAUCGAAC